rnacentral:tRNA from 1 species
GCGGAAGUAGUUCAGUUGGUAGAACACAACCUUGCCAAGGUUGAAGUCGAGGGUUCGAGUCCCUUCUCCCGCU